rnacentral:rRNA from 1 species
AUUGAACGCUGGCGGCAGGCCUAACACAUGCAAGUCGAGCGGAUGAAGGGAGCUUGCUCCUGGAUUCAGCGGCGGACGGGUGAGUAAUGCCUAGGAAUCUGCCUGGUAGUGGGGGAUAACGUCCGGAAACGGGCGCUAAUACCGCAUACGUCCUGAGGGAGAAAGUGGGGGAUCUUCGGACCUCACGCUAUCAGAUGAGCCUAGGUCGGAUUAGCUAGUUGGUGGGGUAAAGGCCUACCAAGGCGACGAUCCGUAACUGGUCUGAGAGGAUGAUCAGUCACACUGGAACUGAGACACGGUCCAGACUCCUACGGGAGGCAGCAGUGGGGAAUAUUGGACAAUGGGCGAAAGCCUGAUCCAGCCAUGCCGCGUGUGUGAAGAAGGUCUUCGGAUUGUAAAGCACUUUAAGUUGGUAGGAAGGGCAGUAAGUUAAUACCUUGCUGUUUUGACGUUACCAACAGAAUAAGCACCGGCUAACUUCGUG